GUGGGGAAUCUUGCGCAAUGGGCGAAAGCCUGACGCAGCCAUGCCGCGUGAAUGAUGAAGGUCUUAGGAUUGUAAAAUUCUUUCACCGGGGACGAUAAUGACGGUACCCGGAGAAGAAGCCCCGGCUAACUUCGUGCCAGCAGCCGCGGUAAUACGAAGGGGGCUAGCGUUGCUCGGAAUUACUGGGCGUAAAGGGCGCGUAGGCGGACAGCUUAGUCAGAGGUGAAAGCCCAGGGCUCAACCUUGGAAUUGCCUUUGAUACUGGCUGUCUUGAGUUUGGGAGAGGUGAGUGGAACUCCGAGUGUAGAGGUGAAAUUCGUAGAUAUUCGGAAGAACACCAGUGGCGAAGGCGACUCACUGGCCCAAUACUGACGCUGAGGCGCGAAAGCGUGGGGAGCAAACAGGAUUAGAAACCCGAGUAGUCC
rnacentral:rRNA from 1 species